rnacentral:misc_RNA from 1 species
GAGACUUACUGCUUAAUGUGGAAUAGCCAAGUGCUUCAAAAGAUUAAACAUUGAGGAGCAAAGGGAUCCUAGAGCCUAGAAGCAAGGCGCCAAAGGGCACCAUGAAGUGUAAAACAAAUAAAAUAAGAAAAUUCUAUCCUUCAUUAAUAACAUAAAACAUUUAGAGUUCUAGCACUGAUGCUUUUGAAAUCCAGCACAACAGUUCACAUAAUUCACAACAGAAACAAAUGUAGAAAAAGA